rnacentral:misc_RNA from 1 species
AAGUCGUAACAAGGUUUCCGUAGGUGAACCUGCGGAAGGAUCAUUAUCGAGUUUUGACUGGGUUGUAGCUGGCCUCCCGAGGCAUGUGCACGCCCUGCUCAUCCACUCUACACCUGUGCACUUACUGUGGGCUUCAGACGUCGUGAAGCGGGCUCUUUACGGAGCUUGUUGAGCGUGUCUGUGCCUGCGUUUACCACAAACUCUAUAAAGUAUUAGAAUGUGUAUUGCGAUGUAACGCAUCUAUGUACAACUUUCAGCAACGGAUCUCUUGGCUCUC